rnacentral:sRNA from 1 species
UGAACAGCUCUGAAGAGGAUGACACCGAGGGAUUCUCGGAGAGAGGGCUCACCAGUCUGGCCCAGCUGGGGCCAACCUCAGUGUUGCCAGGCUUCUGGUGCCAGCGCCUUCCCUCGAAGUAAAGGCCUGCUGGGAUUGGUAA